rnacentral:rRNA from 1 species
GACGAACGCUGGCGGCGUGCCUAAUACAUGCAAGUCGAGCGCUGAAGGUAGGUACUUGUUCCAACUGCAUGAGCAGCGGACGGGUGAGUAACGCGUGGGUAAUCUGCCUUUGAGCGGGGGAUAACUUUUGGAAACGAAUGCUAAUACCGCAUAAUAUCUUUAAACACAUGUUUCAAGUUUGAAAGACGCAAUUGCUUCACCCAAAGAUUAUCUCGCGUUGGAUUAGCGAGUUGGUGAGGUGAAGGCUCACCAAGGCGAUGGUACAUAGCCGACCCGAGAGGGUGGUCGGCCACAAUGGGACUGGGACACGGCCCAAACUUCCACGGGAAGGAGCAGUAAGGGAUCUUCGGGCAAUGACGAAAGUCUGACCGAACAACGCCGCGUGAGGGGAGGAGGGUGUCGGGUCGGAAAACUUUGUUUAUAGGGAAGAAAGUUGGUGGGAAUGGAAAGCGCAUGAAGUGACGGUAACUACCCAGAAAGGGACGGCUAACUACGUG